AUGAAGUUUCUUUAUCUUGGUAAAUUGGAAAGAGCAGCUCACUGCAGUACAAAUGCAGUGCUGACGGACAAAAACCAUCUAAAAAAACUAGCACUGGAGUGGAGUGAGCGUGAGGGAUCAUAUUCUGAAGAAGAAGUUAGCAAUACUGAGAAGGCAUUUGAGAAGCUAAUACCUCCACGCAACCUGGAAGACCUAAGUAUGUUAGGAUUCUUCGGUCGGCAGUAUCCGACCUGGUUUGGUACCACCUGUUUGUCUUCAUUAAUGUCCUUGCUCCUCAAAGGUGUACGAUCAUGUGUGCAUCUUCCACCCAUUGGGCAGCUACCAAACUUGAAAUUUCUGAGAAUUGAUGGAGCACAUGCGGUUACCAAGGUUGGACCUGAAUUUGUUGGCUACAAUAAGGGUGAUUAUGUGUGUAAUGAAUUGGUCACCUUCCCUAAACUUGAACGGUUGAUCUUCAAGGAUAUGCCCAACUGGGAGGCGUGGUAUUUUUUUGAGGAAGAAGUUGCUGCUGCUGAUGUAAGGGGAGAGGAUGGAGCUGCUGAGAUUCAUAAAGAGGAUGUCCAAUCUGCAAGGCUGCGACUGCUGCCUCGUUUGGUGCAGUUGCAACUCGCAGGUUGCCCGAAACUGAGGGCUCUACCACCAUAG
rnacentral:rRNA from 1 species